rnacentral:rRNA from 1 species
UACGUAGGGUGCGAGCGUUGUCCGGAUUUAUUGGGCGUAAAGGGCUCGUAGGCGGUCUGUCGCGUCGGAUGUGAAAAUCCAGGGCUCAACCCUGGACCUGCAUUCGAUACGGGCAGACUAGAGUUCGGCAGGGGAGACUGGAAUUCCUGGUGUAGCGGUGAAAUGCGCAGAUAUCAGGAGGAACACCGGUGGCGAAGGCGGGUCUCUGGGCCGAUACUGACGCUGAGGAGCGAAAGCGUGGGGAGCGAACAGG